rnacentral:rRNA from 1 species
AUGACGACACAACCCAUCAACACAUUAAGUUGGAAAGUCCAUGGGCUAAACUGCCCAGCUUGGAGGGCAACGGUUUGUGCAACGAGUGCCGCCUCCUCAUGCCAGCUCGUCUAUCUACAAGAGACAAAGCUCGAUAGCGUCGAUAAAUUUGUCGCUGCCUUCCUGGGUGGCAACAGACUUCAAAGCUUUGCACAACGCCCAACAUUAGGGACUAGGGGAGGAAUUCUACUCUAUGGGAUGAAAGUUCUCAACGUCUCCGAUAUCACCACAUCGACCUAUUGCCUCUCUUUUCAUGGUCUGUAUCCGUGCAACCGACGUCUGCUUUAGGGUCACGUCCGUAUAUUGGAUAACCGAUCACGCUUGCAAAGAUGUUUUUUUGUAGAGCUCAUAUCCCAAAAGCCUCCCAAUGGGAUUGCAUGGCUGGCCCUUGGGGAUUUCAACCAAAUUUACCGCGCACAAGACAAAAAUGAGAGAAAAUUUAACCGGAGUAGGAUCAAUCGCUUCUGGGCUGUGCUACAAUCUUGCGAGCUCAAGGAAAUUCACCUACAAAAUAGGCACUUCAUUUGGAGUAAUGAGCGGGACAACCCAACUCUUUGCAAGCUCAACUCCUUCUUCUAUAAUGCGGAGCGGGAUAUGGCCUUCAACACCCAUGUGCUAAAUGCUUUGUCGUCUUCCCUCUCCGACCAUUGCCCCCUCCUGCUUGCGGAUGACAAAGGGCCUAGAAGGCCAAGAUCUUUCAAGUUCGAAAACUUCUGGGCUUCUUUGCACGGCUUCCCUGAGGUGGUGAAAAAGGCAUGGGAUGAGCAUGUCAGGCACUCGGAGUUGUACCAAGUCCUAUACCACAAGCUCAAAAAACCCGCGACCCGGCUUACUGAGUGGAGCAAGAACCUGUUCUCCAAGGCAAAGGUCCAACUCCAUGCAGCCCUACUUGUGAUUCUCCACCUCAACAUUGCGCAAGAGGCGAGGGCCCUUUCUCUAGAGGAAUGUGACAUACACUCAAGGCUCAAGUGGAGGGUGAUCAGUUUGGCGGUACUUGAGAGGACUAGGAAGAGCCAAUGUGCUCGGUUGGCAAACUUGAGGCAUAGGGAUGCAAACAGAAAAUUCUUCCACCGCCACAUCAAUGCCAGAAGAAGGAAGAAUCACCAUUCACCGGAUUAA